AAAGUGGCUGUAUUAACAGCCACUCAAUAUUUAUAACAACCUUUUAU
rfam:Gilliamella apicola SCGC AB-598-P17 SCG598P17_11039, whole genome shotgun sequence.